CUCAGUGGUAGAGCAGGGGAUUCAUAAGCCCUUGGUCACAGGUUCAAAUCCCGUUUGAGCUA
rnacentral:tRNA from 1 species